CCAAUAGCGUAUAUUAAAGUUGUUGCAGUUAAAAAGCUCGUAGUUGAAUUUCGGGAUCAAUAUGUUGGUCGUGCCUUGGUACGUACUGGCGUCAUUGGUUUCUACCUUCUGAAGAACCUCGAUGUCAUUAAUUUGGUGUCUUGGGGAAUCAGGACUGUUACUUUGAAAAAAUUAGAGUGUUUAAAGCAGGCUCACGCUUGAAUACAUUAGCAUGGAAUAAUGAAAUAGGACGUUUGAUUCUAUUUUGUUGGUUUCUAGGAUCGACGUAAUGAUUAAUAGGGAUAGUUGGAGGCAUUAGUAUUCAAUUGUCAGAGGUGGAAUUCUUGGGUUUAUUGAAGACUAACUACUGCGAAAGCAUUUGCCAAGGAUGUUUUCAUUAAUCAAGAACGAAAGUUAGGGGAUCGAAGACGGUCAGAUACCGUCGUAGUCUUAACCAUAAACUAUGCCGACUAGGGAUCGGAUGAUGUUAAUUUUUUAAUGACUCAUUCGGCGCCUUACG
rnacentral:rRNA from 1 species